rnacentral:rRNA from 1 species
GCAUAUCAAAAAGCGGAGGAAAAGAAACCAACAGGGAUUGCCUCAGUAACGGCGAGUGAAGCGGCAAAAGCUCAAAUUUGAAACCCUCGGGAUUGUAAUUUGAAGAUUUGGCAUUGGAGAAAGCUAACCCAAGUUACUUGGAAUAGUACGUCAUAGAGGGUGACAACCCCGUCUGGCUAACCGUUCUCCAUGUAUUGCCUUAUCAAAGAGUCGAGUUGUUUGGGAAUGCAGCUCAAAGUGGGUGGUAAACUCCAUCUAAAGCUAAAUACUGGUGAGAGACCGAUAGCGAACAAGUACUGUGAAGGAAAGGUGAAAAGAACUUUGAAAAGAGAGUGAAAUAGUAUGUGAAAUUGUUGAUAGGGAAGGAAAUGAGUGGAGAGUGGUUUAGGUUUCAGCCUUCUUUCGAGGGGGUGUACUACCAACGCCGAGUCAUUGUCAGCGAGACAGGGGUUAUAAACGGGUUGCCUUCUGGCUUCUCACCUAACCCCUCCACUGCCGACAACGACAUAAUCCACCCAUUUCACCCGUCUUGAACCACGG